rnacentral:rRNA from 1 species
GACGAACGCUGGCGGCGUGCUUAACACAUGCAAGUCGAACGGAAAGGCCCUGCUUUUGUGGGGUGCUCGAGUGGCGAAAGGGUGAGUAACAAGUGAGUAACCUGCCCUUGACUUUGGGAUAACUUCAGGAAACUGGGGCUAAUACCGGAUAGGAGCUCCUGCUGCAUGGUGGGGGUUGGAAAGGUUCGGCGGUUGGGGAUGGACUCGCGGCUUAUCAGCUUGUUGGUGGGGUAGUGGCUUACCAAGGCUUUGACGGGUAGCCGGCCUGAGAGGGUGACCGGCCACAUUGGGACUGAGAUACGGCCCAGACUCCUACGGGAGGCAGCAGUGGGGAAUAUUGCACAAUGGGCGGAAGCCUGAUGCAGCAACGCCGCGUGCGGGAUGACGGCCUUCGGGUUGUAAACCGCUUUCGCCUGUGACGAAGCGUGAGUGACGGUAAUGGGUAAAGAAGCACCGGCUAACUACGUG